UACGUAGGGGGCGAGCGUUGUCCGGAUUUAUUGGGCGUAAAGAGCUCGUAGGCGGCUCAGUAAGUCAGGUGUGAAAACUCCAGGCUCAACCUGGAGACGCCACUUGAUACUGCUGUGGCUAGAGUCCGGUAGGGGAGCAUGGAAUUCCUGGUGUAGCGGUGAAAUGCGCAGAUAUCAGGAGGAACACCAGUGGCGAAGGCGGUGCUCUGGGCCGGAACUGACGCUGAGGAGCGAAAGCGUGGGGAGCAAACAGG
rnacentral:rRNA from 1 species